UUGAUGGCUUUACUCAGAAGUGCACAACAGAAUUUCAGAAGGCAGCUUUUCUCGUGGCAGUGUCCACAAGACUGAAGAAGACUUGAACUUUCACUUGACUGGGAAAGGAGAAACCAGAGCCAAGCUUUGCUUUGACCUUCAACUUUCACUGUGAAAUGCCCCAAGGCAAAUCUUUGGGAGGCUCUACAGGAGAUCCAUUCACAACUUUUCUGGAGAGGCUGAAGAUAAAGACACUUUUCCAAUACUCCCAGUGGGCACAGUAAGGCCCCCGACAGCUGACCCUUCAAAGAAACAUGCCGGUUCCCUUCACCCAGCCCAAGGUCUGGACUGCCCUCAUCAGCCCUGCCUUGGAGUCGUCCUCCUGAUGCUCCAGAACACAGCACUUCCCAGGGUCCGGGAACAUUCCGCCGCCACGCCCAGGUGUAUUCCUAAAGGACUUGUAAAUAGAGCAAUUCUGUAGCUGGCAAACGCAAUGCUCUUCACCCAGCUAACGCAGCUGAUUCAGGAGGAAAAUACAACUUUCCCCUGUUUCAGUUCAUUUUGUGGUAUAAACAUAGCCUGAGAAACAAACUACUUAACAAUAGUAAGUUUGGGGGCGCCUGGGUGGCUCAGUCGUUAAGCGUCUGCCUUCGGCUCAGGUCAUGAUCCCAGGGUCUGGGGAUAGAGCCCCGCAUCGGGCUCUCUGCUCCGCAGGAAGCCUGCUUCUCCCUCUCCCACUCCCCUUGCUUGUGUUCCCUCUCUCGCUGUGUCUCUC